ensembl:lncRNA
AANAUGUUUGUGUGUGUGUGUGUGUGUGUGUAUAUAUGAAGUCAUAUGUUAUAUGGACAAUAUUUUUACUAAUAUUUUCCUUUCACUUGAUGGUUACACCACAACAUUUUUAGUGUCAUUACAAUAAAGCUUUUCUUAAAAAUAAAUACAAACAUAGAUACAGACAGUACAUUUCUUUUACCCUUGUUUUAAAUAAGAUUUUGUCUUUAUCAUGGAUGCUUCUAUAUAUCAUUGACUCAAGUGUGUGUUUGUAUGAAUGGUUAUCUUGCUGUUGAGAUGGAGGGGGUUGUGUUUCCUGUGCUGAGGCUGCUGGUUUCAGAUGCAGGUGGACAGGUGAUGAGAUGAUCUGGCCAUUUCACUGCUGAAUCAGUCCAUUACAGCAUCUGAACCGAAAGCUCCUUUGCCCUCGCUCCGCAGAACUCUUCCAACUGCCAACGCAGAUGCUGACAUGACUGUCUUUUCCCUUCAUUUUCAUUUUUUUCAUUUUCACUUAUUGCCUUCUCUUUCUCUUUCUCUUUAUCUUUCUCUUUCUCUUUCUCAAACAGAAAAUGAGUACCGGGGGAAACUCCUGAACCAGCGCUGGACGCGAGGAGACAAGAUCAGCCGCUGCCGGCCCUCUCUCAGACUGCAGAGCCGACCAAUCAAAAUGAGUUUGGAUACUGAUGACAAGCGCACUCGCACACGGUCCAAAGCAGGAAGAGUUCCCUCAGAGAUUGUUGGACAGGAGCUGAGGUGAGACAGAUUAGUUUUGUAAAGUUAAAUUUGCCAUUUUUUCCUUCUGCAGCAAUUUUUUUCUUUAUGUUUCAAAUCCAUGUUUGAGCAUGUUUUUUUUUUUGUUUUUUUUUUUUUACAUUAUUUGGUUCACAAUGCACGCCACUUUACAAACAAAACCAUUUUAAUGUUACUCAUUUUCAACAAUUCUUAUCAUCAACAAAAUUGCUGUCAGCAAAUGAAAUCUAAUAAAUGUGAGGAGUCCACAGCUUUUUCA